CUGGGAGGAACUGGAGGUGAGGAUGGACUUAAGACUGCCCAAUCUGAAGUAGCCUCAGCGCCCGGGAAAACGCUGCCGAUCCGAUAGCGCUUCAGUAGCUGCAGUCGUGUUUGCGUACGGCGGGGACUUGAUUGAUUUAAUUAGCUCUCAUUAAUGGCAUCGAAGAUAGUUCAACAACAAGCAACGGAGAGUUGUGCUGAAGUGUUGCAUGUUAAUUGCUCGAUGAUUUGUGUUAUGGGACGGCUCUUUUGCGGUUUGGGAGGACCCAAAGGCCAGCUGCUUGCCCUGGCUGCUGUCCCCAUGGGGCUCAGAGAACGUAGCAGCUUCCUGGGCAAGAAGAGACACAGAACAGCGUUUGUCUUGGCGGCAGAGAGGAAUCUGGUCCUGCGUUUAUGGAUGCAGCGUGGAGCAGAAUCAUCUGAAAACCUCAGGGGAUCAAGGAUGUGUAUAUCUGUCUUGGCCUGCUUUCUACUGUGAAUAGGAAGGUUGUAUCUGCAGCAUGAUCUGUUCUCCAAAAGAUGUCAAACCUUCCCCUCCCCUUGGAGAAAGAAGGUAACUGGCCUUGUGAGUGA